CAUUCGUUUAAAUUGACUAACAAAGUGGGCCUCUUAAAUAAAAAAAGAUUCACAACAACAUUUAUUGUUUGGAUUUUGUACUAAAAUUUGGUAAAAAUAUGGUUAAAAAGAUGAACCUUAAAGUAGUUUAAAUCACAAGAAUGUGUUUUUAUUGGUUUUGGGGCCUUUUUUGCUUUAUUGGGGUAGGGAUAGUAGAGAAUUGACAAGGCAAAAUAGGAUAGAAGACUGGGGGUGUGAUCGGGGAAAAUACCCUAUGAGCUGGGAAACGAACCCUUCACGGUAGGAGAGAAGCAAUUGAUUUGUCACCUUUCUCUACAUUUAGACUCAACAAAGAUUUAACAAAUAAAUAGGUUUUUACAUGAAGAAUGUUUAUGAUUUUCUUUAUUUACACUGCCUAGAGAGUACUUCAAGAUGAGAAGAAACUGUCUCAGUAAAUGUGACUGGGUGGACAUAAAAUGGAAUGGAGGACAAAUUAACCAUUCCACACAACAGGACUGAUACAGCUGUGGAGUGUUUGUCAUGCAGAAGUUGUUGGUGCGUUUCCAAAUAUCCCUUGCCAUUUGACUAUAAACUCAUCCAAGGAGCACAUGGAACAUCUGCGACUGACAAUGGCGGAGGAACUUCUGAAAGCCUCAGUAUUCAAGAGGGGACAUUACUGCUCAUUAUGUGCUGCCUCAAAAUCCCCGGGUGGUGGUGCAAAAACAUUUUGGGUGGGUAAUGUAGCAAUGGUUAUAACAUUUUUAUGGGCACACCAUUUUGUUUACAAGUGUGUGUUGUGUGUGUAAGAGAGUGAGUGAAUGAAAGAGAGAGACUGAGAGAGAUGGUGAGAGAGUGAGAGAGAAACUAAUUGGUUACUGAGCCAUUUGAUAAGAUUACCAUGAUCAUUUUUCAGAUUGAAUGUCACUGCUGCAAAAGGUGGUUUCAUGUGGUAUGCCUUUUUAUGUCAGAGAAGCGGUUCAAAAGGGCUCAAAAGGCUGACUGGAAGUGCUGCCUAUGUAAAUAAUUUUGAAUUCCUUUGGCUCCCAUCCACAAUCUAAACAUGUACAUAAAUAAAUUAAAAGAAAACAAAUAAAAAUGUUUGAAAUAUUAAAACAUUUGUGGAUCAUCAUUUCUUUUAAUUAUUUAAUUAAUAGGACAUCUAUUUUUUUAAGAAAACCAUUCAAUCCAGUACAGGUCAUUUUAACCCGCUUUAUGCAUUUGUGAAGGGUUUUUUGGUUCAUGCAUUGUAGGGUUAAAUAUCAAAAAUCUAAAAGGUGUUUCUCAUAUCUGACACCUAGGUGAACACUUUCCAGUUGGUUUUGUGACUGUACAUUAUUCCCUUCCAAAUGCUAUUGAGCU